rnacentral:lncRNA from 1 species
UUAGUUGUUAUUUUCUUUUGCCUUUCCAUUUUGUAUUUCCUUCCCUUAAAACAUUGAGGACAAUGUUUAGUUUAAGUAGGGGGGGGAAACAAUAUUCUUCCUAUUACCAUUUUUCAAGUAUGUUAUUUUCCCUUUUCAUUGUUAUUUCCCUUUCUUAUUAUGAAAAAAAAAAAAAAAUUUAUUAUAAUAUAUAUUUAUUUUAAGUCAAGCCCCUAGUGUGAAAAAUUCUUAUUAUCUAUUCCCCUCAAUUUUCUUGAGCCAUAACAAAAAAUUUUUUAACACACCCAAUAAGUAUAAAGGUUGCUUACUUUAUAAAAUUUGAGUGAAAUCAAGACAAAAUCAUUACCAUAACAACGCUCUGAGAACCUCAAUAUGUUA